AGUGAGCAGCACACGCCUCAUCAGACUGUCCGCGGCUUCCACUCCCAUAUCGUAUGAGAAACACGGUUUGAAGUUCUGCUUGUUCUCCUGAGGGACACGUCAAAGACGUCUGCGCUCUGUGAUCUGUGUAUUGGUUUUAAGUACCUGUAGAAGGUCCAACUUGACACACAACUUGAAUCCAACCACACUGAACACUGACUCCAGGGACAGACGAGCCUGAAGGACACAGCUGUGAUGACCAUGUUCUGUCUCUUAUGGCAAAGCAGAAAUAUUAAACACUGGGUUGACCAGCAUAAAGCUGCAGAUCUCCACCAUGUUGCAACUGAGGACAUCAGGAGCUGCAUUAAUGAGGAGCAGAAGCGCACUGUUAUGAAUGUUUUGUGUUGUGUAUGAAGCACCACAUAUUUCAGAUAGAACCAAUGUACUGGGGUCUGGGUUUGUAUCCUAAUGGUUAAAUGCACAUACUUUAAAUCGCUUUUGAUAAAACGUGAGAAAGAAAUACAACAUUGUAUACAUAGAUAAAAUGUCUUUCUACCUCAUCUGUAAUAUUCAAGGUGAUGAUCUCCCACAGAGCUGUUGAUAACAGUCCACAUCAAGUCUCUCCACUUCCCUCAGUGUGAAAACAUAAUUAUAUAAUUAAUGUGAGAACUGUUUACAACACUGAUUUGUGGACAUUAUAAUCUUAUCUAUACUGUCUAAUUCACUCGACAACUCCAUGACAGACUAAAUAAACGAUGUGAAAAUAGUAAUGGUGGAUAUACCAGCCUGUAUCAGAAUAUUGGUGAAACAUAGUUACUAUCACAUGCAACGUACACGUGUAGCGUAUUGAUAGUAACUUAUUAAAAAAAUAAAUAAAGUCACAACCAAAACAAGACUGUGGAGUUAACUUGCUUCAAUCUGUUCAUUAGACGUGAUAAAUAAACGGUAACUUUUAUAACAAUUACAUAUUACACAAAACUUGAGGCAUGUAAGCAUAUGAUGAUAGAUAAAGCAAUAGGUUAUGUUGUAUA